GUGCCAGCCGCCGCGGUAAUACGUAGGGCGCAAGCGUUGUCCGGAAUUAUUGGGCGUAAAGAGCUUGUAGGUGGCUUGUCGCGUCUGCCGUGAAAACCCGAGGCUCAACCUCGGGCGUGCGGUGGGUACGGGCAGGCUAGAGUGUGGUAGGGGAGACUGGAACUCCUGGUGUAGCGGUGAAAUGCGCAGAUAUCAGGAAGAACACCGAUGGCGAAGGCAGGUCUCUGGGCCAUUACUGACACUGAGAAGCGAAAGCAUGGGUAGCGAACAGGAUUAGAUACCCUGGUAGUCCAUGCCGUAAACGUUGGGCACUAGGUGUGGGGGACAUUCCACGUUUUCCGCGCCGUAGCUAACGCAUUAAGUGCCCCGCCUGGGGAGUACGGCCGCAAGGCUAAA
rnacentral:rRNA from 1 species